UGACAUCCAGAUGACCCAGCCUCCAUCCUCCCUGUCUGCAUCUGUAGGAGACAGAGUCACCGUCUCUUGCCAGGCUAGUCAAAGCAUUUACAACUAUUUAAAUUGGUAUCAGCAGAAACCAGGGAAAGCACCUAAGUUCCUGACCUAUAGGGCAUCCAGUUUGCAGAGGGGGAUGCCAUCUCAGUUCAGUGGCAGCGGAUAUGGAAGAGAUUUCACUCUCACUGUCAGCAGCCUGCAGCCUGAAGAUUUUGCAACUUAUUAAUGUCAACAAGAGAGCAUUUUCCCUCU
rnacentral:lncRNA from 1 species